AGAGUGAACGCUGGCGGCAUGCCUAACACAUGCAAGUCGAACGGUAACAGGCCCGCAAGGGUGCUGACGAGUGGCGGACGGGUGAGGAAUACAUCGGAAUCUGCCCGGUUGUGGGGGAUAACGUAGGGAAACUUACGCUAAUACCGCAUACGACCGAAAGGUGAAAGCGUGGGAUCCGCAAGGACCUCGCGCAGCCGGAUGAGCCGAUGUCGGAUUAGCUAGUUGGCGGGGUAAAAGCCCACCAAGGCGACGAUCCGUAGCUGGUCUAAGAGGAUGAUCAGCCACACUGGGACUGAGACACGGCCCAGACUCCUACGGGAGGCAGCAGUGGGGAAUAUUGGACAAUGGGGGCAACCCUGAUCCAGCAAUGCCGCGUGUGUGAAGAAGGCCUUCGGGUUGUAAACCUCUUUUGACGAGGAAGAAUACAAUGACGGUACUCGUCGAAUAAGCCCCGCUAACUCCGUGCCAGCAGCCGC
rnacentral:rRNA from 1 species